CGUGAACAUAAUAUUAAUCUAUACUAUUCGACGUGUCCCGUAGCAACAAAGAUAGCGUUAAUUUCACCCACAAAUUUUAUAAUAUAAAUUAUUUCCCUGCAGUUGUCUCAGAAAAUCACGAGUAAAAAAUUUAUCAAAUUCUGAUCAUUUUUCUUUAAUUCAGCUAUAUACGCGUACCAUAUAAGUUAGUGUGGCGUACUGUCUAAAAUUGGCGAAAACUAUGUAAUCAAUUUCUCAAAAUAUGAGCGCAAUAUUUUACGAUUUCUUCACACGGG